CUGAACACAGUGGGAAUUAUUCCUGUGUAGCUCACAACAGAAGAGGAAGUCAUAACGCCACUUUGUAUUUGACUGUUGUGGCAGUUUCCCCAGUAGUCUGGAAAUUAGCAGUUAUUGGAACAGCCCCUGGUGUUUUCCUGGUAAUCAUAUGGCUCUCUGUCUUCCUACUGAUAAGAAAAAAGAGGACCUCAAAGAGACCAUCUGAGCCUGGAGAAAAACCAGAUGACAGGUAUCUAGCCAAUCAGUCGGAGGAGCAGGAUGACCUUCACUAUGCCAGCAUCAACUUCUCCAACAUUCAGGCAGAUCCUGUGUACGCCAACAUCAGAGCAGCUCGGCCCCUCAGACACAGACAGGAAGAAGAAGAAGUCAUUGAGUACGCUGCUGUCAGC